rnacentral:tRNA from 1 species
UGCGAUAUAGCUCCGUUGGUAGAGCGUUUGCCUCACAUGCACAAGGCCCUGGGUUCAAUCCCCAGCAUCACAA